AUGGAGGCCGCCGCCUCCAGCCUCUCGUCGCUGCUCGUCAGCCUCCGCGUGGACGGCCCCUGGACGCCGCCUGCAGCCUGGGAUUCCAUCGCCCCCGAGAGCGCGUCCGCCGGUGUUCCUGACCCUGCAGGGCGUCCCUCUCGGGAUCCAAUCUACGAGCUCACCUCCGUUCCUGAUGCUGCUUUGGUUCGUUUGGCUUUGCAUGCACUGCAUGGUGUCAAAUCAUCGCUAGAUGAGAUUGACGAGCUUUCUGUGUUGUUCUCCUCAAGUCCGGCAGACAGGACAUCUCAUCGCAUUGCAAAUGUGUGGUCACGGUCAUCUAGCACUGCCUCUAUAGGACAUAUUCUCAAUUCUAUAGGCUCUACAGGUCUUGCAGUUUUCUUCCUGCGCAAGUUUGUGCACUAUUAUCUUUUCCAAAGUCGAGAAGUAAAUUGUGGAAAUAGAGAAGGACAUGGACAUGAUGUUUCUGAUGACAAAGAUACUGAGCAUUCUCCUCCUUAUAGUCUAGUGAACCAAGCAUUUGCUGCAGCAGUUGAAAAAGUUCUAGAAGGCUAUUUCUGUUCCUUGAAUACUUUACCACCUUCAAUUAAGCUGAGGCGGUCAGUGGGACAACCUGAUAGACCUUCCAUGACCUCAGAUAGAGCUAGUUGUAAUUCUAGCUCUGAAAUCACUCUUCUGGAAGUUUAUCUCCACACCGAGGAGUUGAGAAGGCAUAUUAAGUCCCUUGGAAAUAUUUGUUUUCCUAAGUUUGCAGGUCUUGCAUUAUGCCAGGAGGGUUUGACUACUGAUUCUAACUUGGAGUUUGAGAAUUUUCCGCGGGGCACUGAUUUGCUUUCUUAUUUGUAUGUCCGCCUUCGUGAUGCUGAUCCAGUUCACUAUGCUCUUUUGAAAUAUCUCUUCAUUCGUUCGUGUGAACCAUACUGUAACUUCAUUAAGUUAUGGAUUUACCGAGCUAGUGUUGACGACCCUUAUGAAGAAUUUCUCAUAACACAAACCGAGAACAGCCAGAUUCAAGGAGGUUCGUUGGGCCCACUAGGUGUCACUGCAUUGCCCUUCAAGGGAAGUAAUCAUGUAUCUGUUCCAUGUUUUCUGAAAGAUAUAUGCAAUCCUCUUUUACGCACUGGGCAGCAGCUUCAAGUGCUCAUGAAGGUUGUAAAGUCAUGCAAUCUUUGUUCUACUGGAGGAGAUAAUUACGACGCUAGUAAAACUAUCCUUCUGGAGGAAAUUCUCCCAUGGUUUGGUACGCCAAUUGAGUGCUCAGUGAAUUCAUUUACUUUCUCAAAAAGCAAGGCUGAUGCAGUAAUAUGUCAGAGAGACGCUAUGUACAAGUCAAUGCUAGAGAAGCUCCAUCAUUAUUUCUUAAAUAUUGAGAUAAUUCCUUUUGGUCCUCCGUCAAACUCCCUGCAUAAAAGUAAAAGCCCUCUAGACACAUCAGUUUCAGAUGUGGAGCUAUUGUAUGGCGGCAUCCAUGCUCUACCAACUUGUGAUAUUAUGUCUGCAGAUGAAAAAGACAAUGAUGCUUAUUCAACAUCGCAAGAAUCUUCAGAUAAACUAGAUCCUCUGGAAUCUUCAGAAUGCUCUUCUUCUUAUAGUUCUAUGGAUGAAAUUGAGGUUGAGAGUGGCAUCACUUGUGGUAAUUUGUCUAGUUCCAGGUUUUCGUUGUACCAUGCAAGUACAGGUGAAGCAAAAUGCUCCUCAGAAACCCAAAAUGUGCUUUCACAUCAAACUAGUUCUCGUCACAACGGGACAAACUCUUCAAGCCCUAAUGAUGAGGACCAUAGAAAUGUUGAUUUGGGUUGCAGCAACGUUCCCAUGCACUCGCAGAAUGUGGAACAUAAUGUGAUGCCUGAUGCUCUAGAACUGGAUUACCAGUAUAGUAAAUUUUGGCCAUUUGGCAAAUUUCCAAAGAACACAUUUAAUAGUUCCCCUGGAAAAAUGUGUUUAGUUGAUGAGUUUCUGUAUACGGACAAUGAAAGUGCAGUGGAGCAAGUAUCACAUGAUGAUGUAGUUUAUCCAUCACACACAGAUAAGUCUUGCAAGAUAAAUCAUUCAUGGAAUUCUAGCAUUUCUUACAAUCUCAGCACCAAUCCCAUUCUGAAGAAUGCGGCUGGUCAUCAUAUGGAGAGUGACUUGCGAGGAAAAUGGAAAAAUCAAGCACUUGAAAGCUUUGCUUUCGAGUCAGUCACAAAUCCAUGUGAAGUAUACUGUGAAAGAAGUACGUCCCUUGUGGAGUCUGAAGCCGGAGCUACAAAGGUUGUACAUUCCACUGCUCAGAAACAGCCUGAUUGUUCCAGCGAGCUUCUUCAAGCUAAGACAGGGAGUCAGGGAUACCUUGCUUCAUCAGGAGAAACGGAAGCAAGUGAUAAUCUUCCAAAAUAUGUCUGCGGGGGAGCAUUAUGGGAGAAAUUGUUAGAAUAUACUGCUAAAUCAACAGAAAAGAUAGCUGGAGAUAGUAGUUCAGCAUCUGAUAUGCCACUUGAUAUAGCUAUUGACAAGUGCAUUAUACAAGAAGUUCUGCUUCAAUAUAAAUAUGUUAGCAGCUUCACAAUGAAGUUGCUUGAGGAGGGUUUUGAUCUUUGUGGACAUCUACUAGCACUACGACGGUACCAUUUCAUGGAACUAGCUGACUGGGCAGAAUCUUUUAUUGUUUCCAUUUAUCAUAAGAAAUGGUUCUCUGUUAAGUCUGAGCAGAAAAGAGCAGAGAUCCAAGGGCUUCUUGACUUGGCCUUGCAGAGGUCUUCAUGUGAUACCGAUCCUUAUAAGGAAAAACUGUUUAUAUACAUGAAAGAACAGCCAGUCAUUUCUGUGGCAGCCUCUGAACAAGGUUUCCACAUGCUGGAUGACUUCUUGCUGGGUUAUAAAGUUGAUUGGCCAGUGAAUAUUGUCAUUACAGAGGAGGCACUUAGGAGAUAUGCUGAAAUAUUCUGUUAUCUUGUUCAAGUCAGGUUUGCAGUCUUUUCACUGACUGAAGUAUGGCGGUUUCUAAAGGAGUUGACACAGUUAAUCAGUCGCUCUGGCCGCAGUAGACCUGAUAUAUUGAAAAAAUUAAACUCUGUGAUGAAAGUGAGACAUCAAGUUUACCAUUUUCUAUCAACAUUACAGCAGUACCACCAUUGCAAUUUGUCUGAUAUAUCAUGGCGUCGUUUUCAACAUUCCCUUAAACAUCAGGUUAAAGAUAUGCGGGAUAUCGAGUAUGUGCAUUUGUGUUAUGUUACAGACGCACUUCACAUAUGUUUCUUAUCCAAUGAGACAAAACCAGUUGCCACCAUAAUCAAAAGCAUGCUUCAACAAGCUUUGGAGUUCCGGUCAUGCUUUAAGAGUCUUAAUGACCUUUCCGAAUCAACAGUUAAUCAGCUUAAUCUGCAUUCUCUUAUAAACUUCUCUCAGGUGGACGCAAUUAGAACGAGGUUUGAGAGUAACAUCAAAGAUUUGUAUAUUUUGCAUUCGAAGUCUUCAAAGUAUGAGGAGCUUGGUCUUUCUCGCUUCUGGGGGUAUCUGAACUACAAUGAGUAUCACUCUUUGAAAAUCACCAAGGAUGUGGGCUGCUUCUACUUCUGA
rnacentral:rRNA from 1 species